AACCCUGAUGCAGCAACGCCGCGUGAGUGAAGAAGGCUGCGUGCUAAAACUCUGUAUAGGGAAGAAAGAAUGACAGUACCCUAAAAGAAAGCCCCGGCUAACUACGUGCCAGCAGCCGCGGUAAUACGUAGGGGGCAAGCGUUAUCCGGAAUAACUGGGCGUAAAGGGUGCGCAGGUGGUUUAACAAGUUAGUGGUGAAAGGCAUAGGCUCAACCAAUGUAAGCCAUUAAAACUGUUUAACUUGAGUGCAGGAGAGGAAAGUGGAAUUCCUAGUGUAGCGGUGAAAUGCGUAGAUAUUAGGAGGAAUACCAGUGGCGAAGGCGACUUUCUGGACUGCAACUGACACUGAGGCACGAAAGCGUGGGGAGCAACAGGAUUAGAUACCCUGGUAGUCCACGCCGUAAACGAUGAGUACUAGGUGUCGGGUGAAGAACUCGGUGCCGAAGUUAACACAUUAAGUACUCCGCCUGGGGAGUACGCUCGCAAGAGUAAACUCAAAGGAAUUGACGGGACCCGCAC
rnacentral:rRNA from 1 species